ACCUUCCGGUGAGGUGAAUCACACCAGGGAACCACAUGCUGGAUCCAUGGUGUGAAGUCUGUGAAAAGCUGAGCACCCAGUAUUUUGAGUCCAUUCAAUGGGAACACCAGCAGCUCUGGAUUUAAUGAGUCUGCUCUUAAUGUGCUGAACUCCUGCGUCUCACAGAGAAAGGGCUGGGUAAUGCUCAGCACUUCUGCAAAUAACUUACUGGAAAUGUAG